UAGGGAAUCUUCGGCAAUGGACGAAAGUCUGACCGAGCAACGCCGCGUGAGUGAAGAAGGUUUUCGGAUCGUAAAACUCUGUUGUUAGAGAAGAACAAGGACGUUAGUAACUGAACGUCCCCUGACGGUAUCUAACCAGAAAGCCACGGCUAACCACGUGCCAGCAGCUGCGGUAAUACGUAGGUGGUAAGCUUUGUUUGGAUUUAUUGGGCGUAAAGCGAGCGCCGGUGGUUUCGUAAGUCUGAUGUGAAAGCCCCCGGCUCAACCGGGGAGGGUCAUUGGGAACUGGGAGACUUGAGUGCAGACGAGGGGAGUGGAAUUCCAUGUGUAGCAAUGAAAAGCGUAGGUAUAUGGAGGAACACCAGUGGCGGGGGCGGCUCUCUGGUCUGUAACUGACGCUGAGGCUCGAAAGCGUGGGAAGCAAACAGG
rnacentral:rRNA from 1 species